AUUGAACGCUGGCGGCAGGCCUAACACAUGCAAGUCGAACGGUAACAGGAAGCAGCUUGCUGCUUCGCUGACGAGUGGCGGACGGGUGAGUAAUGUCUGGGAAGCUGCCUGAUGGAGGGGGAUAACUACUGGAAACGGUAGCUAAUACCGCAUAAUGUCGCAAGACCAAAGAGGGGGACCUUCGGGCCUCUUGCCAUCGGAUGUGCCCAGAUGGGAUUAGCUUGUUGGUGGGGUAACGGCUCACCAAGGCGACGAUCCCUAGCUGGUCUGAGAGGAUGACCAGCCACACUGGAACUGAGACACGGUCCAGACUCCUACGGGAGGCAGCAGUGGGGAAUAUUGCACAAUGGGCGCAAGCCUGAUGCAGCCAUGCCGCGUGUAUGAAGAAGGCCUUCGGGUUGUAAAGUACUUUCAGCGGGGAGGAAGGGAGUAAAGUUAAUACCUUUGCUCAUUGACGUUACCCGCAGAAGAAGCACCGGCUAACUCCGC
rnacentral:rRNA from 1 species